GUGCAUGCAAGGGAUCUAUCUUGCUCUGUCCUUAGGAGAAUCUAAUGCCUGAUGAACUGUCAUUGUCUCCCAUCACCCCCAGAUGGGACCAUCUAGUUGCAGGAAAAGAAGGUCAAGACUCCCACUCAUUCUACAUUAUGCCUCAGCCAAGAUGUCUCACCCUACUCUCUAUGAUGCAACAAGAAGCCCCUGGGGAAUGUUUCAGUCCCAGUCUGUACUAUUGUCAUGUGCUCAUCACAGUCUGGUGGAAUUUAAAUGACCUUUUAUCAAGAUGGAUAAACGCAAGUUUCCCAGUGCUGGAAUACAGAAAAUGGAUGGACAAGUAAGUCCCACUCAGCACCCAUAGCCCAGACAUGGGGACCUCAACACACCUGGGCCCCAGACAUCACCUUUCAUUCUGGAUCUACCAUGAAAGACUUCAGAGUCCAGGAAGAGAGACUGACUGGGCAACAUGUUAUUCAGUUACAAAAAGACUUGGACUAUGACUCAAAAAUGAUCAAAUAAUAGUUCAUGCAUCAAAUGCAAUAGGAAGUACUUCUGGAGGGUGAGAGAAGCAUCCAGUUAAGGUGACAUUGAAGCUGGGUCCUGAAAGAUGAGGAAGAAUUGUAUGAGAGUGGGCAGAGAAGGGGGAGGUGGAGGGAUGGGGAAUGGGCUGGGAUGGAGUGAGCUGCUCAAGUAGGGAGACCAGCACUGUAAAGACCUGGACGAUAAAGACGGCACAUUUUAUUCAGGGAAUGGUGAAUUAAGUGUGGCAGGAAUGCUUUGGAGAGAUAGUAAUUUGCUUGUAUGGAAUUUUGCCCAAGAGGCCUCAUUACAGUUUCUAAUCUUUUGAUGUUAUCAUCUAUCACUGUCCUUGCCAAAUAGUUUGGAAUAGGUAUAAUGAUCACAAUAACAUCAAGCAUAAUAUUUCAUUAAUUCUCACAAAAUCACAGGUAGGUGCCACAGUUAUCCCCAUUUUGUGAAUGAAGUGAUGAAGACUUAGGAAUAAUGAGUGAUUUGCCCAAGCUCACCUGGAUAUUAAGACUGAGUCAAAUGUGGGGUCUGGUCUGACUUUAAUGUUUGCUUUGUUCAUGAGCACCACGUAUUGCCUCUCCUAUGCAGUUAAGCAGGUAGACAGGUGAAAGAAAAGCCCAUGUUAGUCUCUACUCACACACUUCCGACUGAAUGUGUGUGUGGAAUUUCUACACCAAGUUCUCCAAUGCUCUGGAUAUUAACUGGGUAUCCUACAAUUUUAUUCUGACACUUCCUGGAGUUGGC
rnacentral:lncRNA from 1 species